rnacentral:rRNA from 1 species
AGAGUUUGAUCAUGGCUCAGAUUGAACGCUGGCGGCAGGCCUAACACAUGCAAGUCGAGCGGUAGCACAGAGAGCUUGCUCUCGGGUGACGAGCGGCGGACGGGUGAGUAAUGUCUGGGAAACUGCCUGAUGGAGGGGGAUAACUACUGGAAACGGUAGCUAAUACCGCAUAACGUCGCAAGACCAAAGUGGGGGACCUUCGGGCCUCAUGCCAUCAGAUGUGCCCAGAUGGGAUUAGCUAGUAGGUGGGGUAACGGCUCACCUAGGCGACGAUCCCUAGCUGGUCUGAGAGGAUGACCAGCCACACUGGAACUGAGACACGGUCCAGACUCCUACGGGAGGCAGCAGUGGGGAAUAUUGCACAAUGGGCGCAAGCCUGAUGCAGCCAUGCCGCGUGUGUGAAGAAGGCCUUCGGGUUGUAAAGCACUUUCAGCGGGGAGGAAGGCGNNNNNNNNNNNNNNNNNNNUCGAUUGACGUUACCCGCAGAAGAAGCACCGGCUAACUCCGUGCCAGCAGCCGCGGUAAUACGGAGGGUGCAAGCGUUAAUCGGAAUUACUGGGCGUAAAGCGCACGCAGGCGGUCUGUCAAGUCGGAUGUGAAAUCCCCGGGCUCAACCUGGGAACUGCAUUCGAAACUGGCAGGCUAGAGUCUUGUAGAGGGGGGUAGAAUUCCAGGUGUAGCGGUGAAAUGCGUAGAGAUCUGGAGGAAUACCGGUGGCGAAGGCGGCCCCCUGGACAAAGACUGACGCUCAGGUGCGAAAGCGUGGGGAGCAAACAGGAUUAGAUACCCUGGUAGUCCACGCCGUAAACGAUGUCGAUUUGGAGGUUGUGCCCUUGAGGCGUGGCUUCCGGAGCUAACGCGUUAAAUCGACCGCCUGGGGAGUACGGCCGCAAGGUUAAAACUCAAAUGAAUUGACGGGGGCCCGCACAAGCGGUGGAGCAUGUGGUUUAAUUCGAUGCAACGCGAAGAACCUUACCUGGUCUUGACAUCCACAGAACUUUCCAGAGAUGGAUUGGUGCCUUCGGGAACUGUGAGACAGGUGCUGCAUGGCUGUCGUCAGCUCGUGUUGUGAAAUGUUGGGUUAAGUCCCGCAACGAGCGCAACCCUUAUCCUUUGUUGCCAGCGGUUAGGCCGGGAACUCAAAGGAGACUGCCAGUGAUAAACUGGAGGAAGGUGGGGAUGACGUCAAGUCAUCAUGGCCCUUACGACCAGGGCUACACACGUGCUACAAUGGCAUAUACAAAGAGAAGCGACCUCGCGAGAGCAAGCGGACCUCAUAAAGUAUGUCGUAGUCCGGAUUGGAGUCUGCAACUCGACUCCAUGAAGUCGGAAUCGCUAGUAAUCGUAGAUCAGAAUGCUACGGUGAAUACGUUCCCGGGCCUUGUACACACCGCCCGUCACACCAUGGGAGUGGGUUGCAAAAGAAGUAGGUAGCUUAACCUUCGGGAGGGCGCUUACCACUUUGUGAUUCAUGACUGGGGUGAAGUCGUAACAAGGUAACCGUAGGGGAACCUGCGGUUGGAUCACCU